GGCGAGCAAACCCCUCGGCGAUCUAGACUAUUAUUUGAUCUCCCCCUCACCCUCGGGAGUGUCAAUAGGGCACAAGUAGACGAACGAAGGAAGAACGUCAAGAUCGAGGAGAACGGCAGAUCAUUCUCGACGUGACAUAGUAGAAUUAGUCCACCAUUUACAAAUUAGCGCUCGUUUUUAAAUUUAUUCUUAUUUGUACGGCUAGCUAUCGAAAGCGAACAGAACAUUUUAAUCUGAAUUCUGCUUGAUCGGCUGCGGCAAAAUUAAUUCAAUAGAAACUAGUUAAUAGCUGACUCAUUUGGUACAUCUACUAUUGUUCACACCAGCACCAACUUGAAUCGUACCAACAGCGAACCCCUACAAAGUUCUGG